CGGGGAGGGCGCAGCUACACAUGCAGUCGAGCGGAUGACGGGAGCUUGCUCCUUGAUUCAGCGGCGGACGGGUGAGUAAUGCCUAGGAAUCUGCCUGGUAGUGGGGGACAACGUUCCGAAAGGAGCGCUAAUACCGCAUACGUCCUACGGGAGAAAGUGGGGGAUCUUCGGACCUCACGCUAUCAGAUGAGCCUAGGUCGGAUUAGCUAGUUGGUGAGGUAAAGGCUCACCAAGGCGACGAUCCGUAACUGGUCUGAGAGGAUGAUCAGUCACACUGGAACUGAGACACGGUCCAGACUCCUACGGGAGGCAGCAGUGGGGAAUAUUGGACAAUGGGCGAAAGCCUGAUCCAGCCAUGCCGCGUGUGUGAAGAAGGUCUUCGGAUUGUAAAGCACUUUAAGUUGGGAGGAAGGGCAGUAAGUUAAUACCUUGCUGUUUUGACGUUACCGACAGAAUAAGCACCGGCUAACUCUGUGCCAGCAGCCGCGGUAAUACAGAGGGUGCAAGCGUUAAUCGGAAUUACUGGGCGUAAAGCGCGCGUAGGUGGUUCGUUAAGUUGGAUGUGAAAGCCCCGGGCUCAACCUGGGAACUGCAUCCAAAACUGGCGAGCUAGAGUAUGGUAGAGGGUGGGUGGAAUUUCCUGUGUAGCGGUGAAAUGCGUAUAUAUAGGAAGGAACACCAGUGGCGAACGCGACCACCUGGACUGAUACUGACACUGACUGCGAAACCGUGGGGAGCAAACAGGAUUAGAUACCCUGGUAGUCCACUCCGUAACGAUGUCAACUAGCCAUUGGAAUCCUUGAGAUUUUAUGGCGCAGCUAACGCAUUAAGUUGACCGCCUGGGGAGUACGGCCGCAGGGUUAAUACUCAAUGAAUUGACGGGGGCCCGCACAGGCGGUGGGAGCAUGGGGGUUUAAUCUCGAAACCAUCGCGAAUAACCAUAACCAGGCCUUGGACAUGGCAUAGAACUUUCCAGAGAUGGAGUCGGUGCGGUCGUGCA
rnacentral:rRNA from 1 species